AACCACAACUUCUCUUGAACAAGAACAUUCACUCAGGUUCUGGGUUUUUUUUUUUUUUUUAAAUCAUUCUGGAAAUACCAUUUCCACACAGAAUUAUCACCUAAUCAAUAGGCUUGACAAUUUCACUGUGAAACAUUAAAAGAGAGAGAGAAUCUACUGAUAGUAUGAAAUAGCUUCUCUACUGUAGUGCAGCAGUCUAAUGGGUUGUUAUUGGCACCUAUCGGAUGUUUACUGGAAUGGACUAUAACUGAUCAGGCAGGAGAUCAAUGCAAUAUAUUUGGUGCCGCAAAAAGCCACAAUCGAGGCGGGUCAUUUUAUACUAGCAGCGACUUUAUGUCAUGUCUUCGAACAAGUGCAGGAUAAAGGAUUUCCCAUCGUUCAAUACUGUGUCACGGUGGGACCUCUAAUACAGAUGGAAUAUGGCAUUCUAUAGGUCUGGUGACUAAUGACUCAAAGUAAUGCUGCACCGAUUACCUGGCUGAACGAUUCCCAUUACAGCAUUUUCAAGGAAACAUCUCAAAAUUGGAUAAAAGAAAACUUGUUUCAGUGGAGCGCUGACUUGGUAUGAUUUCCUUGUACAAGACUUUCCUAUAGACAAGACAGUACAUACCGAUGCACCAGUCAUGAGCACUGUUUGGGGUGGACAAAAAACGAUUCCAUUGGUGACGAUGAUUAUCGAUUCCGAGAUCCGUCCCACUUCAGCCGAGCUAUACUCCACCUCACUACACAUUUGGAGAGAGGGGUCUGGAUUUAACCAUCGGCGACACCAUUCGUAGAACAAAGGCGGACGAUGAGGAGAAAAAAUGCUGCUCUUCGCCGAUGACCCUGCUGGCCUCUGGUGCGAUUUCGUGUAGAAUGACAAACAAUAACACAACUGAUUAAAGAUGGACAAUUCAUUCUAGUCAUUGCUGGGCUUAAAAACAGGGGAACAAAUUUCAUAACCACAAUUUUGUUUUCCAAUGUAUGCAGAUUGCGUUUAUGUAGAUUUUAAACGUCUAAAUGCAUAAAUGUUGACAUCUUU